rnacentral:rRNA from 1 species
AGGUCAAAUCAUCAUGCCUCUUACGUCUAGGGCAACAGGCGUGCUACAAUGGCAGGUAUAAUAAGACGCAAUACGGUAACGUGGAGCAAAUCUUUAAAGCCUGUCUCAGUUCGAAUUGAGGUCUGCAACUCGACCUCAUGAAGCUGGAAUCGCUAGUAAUCGUGAAUCAGAAUGUCACGGUGAAUACGUUCCCGGGUGUU